AUUGAACGCUGGCGGCAGGCCUAACACAUGCAAGUCGAGCGGAUGAAGGGAGCUUGCUCCUGGAUUCAGCGGCGGACGGGUGAGUAAUGCCUAGGAAUCUGCCUGGUAGUGGGGGAUAACGUCUGGAAACGGGCGCUAAUACCGCAUACGUCCUGAGGGAGAAAGUGGGGGAUCUUCGGACCUCACGCUAUCAGAUGAGCCUAGGUCGGAUUAGCUAGUUGGUGGGGUAAAGGCCUACCAAGGCGACGAUCCGUAACUGGUCUGAGAGGAUGAUCAGUCACUCUGGAACUGAGACACGGUCCAGACUCCUACGGGAGGCAGCAGUGGGGAAUAUUGGACAAUGGGCGAAAGCCUGAUCCAGCCAUGCCGCGUGUGUGAAGAAGGUCUUCGGAUUGUAAAGCACUUUAAGUUGGGAGGAAGGGCAGUAAGUUAAUACCUUGCUGUUUUGACGUUACCAACAGAAUAAGCACCGGCUAACUUCGUG
rnacentral:rRNA from 1 species